GAUGAACGCUAGCUAUAGGCUUAACACAUGCAAGUCGAGGGGCAGCGAAUAGAUAGCUUGCUAUUUAUGUCGGCGACCGGCGCACGGGUGAGUAACGCGUAUCCAACCUGCCCAUAACUAAGGGAUAACCCAGCGAAAGUUGGACUAAUACCUUAUGUAUUCGUUUGAUCUCAUGAGAUUACGAAUAAAGAUUUAUCGGUUAUGGAUGGGGAUGCGUCUGAUUAGCUUGUUGGCGGGGUAACGGCCCACCAAGGCAACGAUCAGUAGGGGUUCUGAGAGGAAGGUCCCCCACAUUGGAACUGAGACACGGUCCAAACUCCUACGGGAGGCAGCAGUGAGGAAUAUUGGUCAAUGGACGCAAGUCUGAACCAGCCAAGUAGCGUGCAGGAUGACGGCCCUAUGGGUUGUAAACUGCUUUUAUAUGGGGAUAAAGUGGGGAACGUGUGCCCUUUUGCAGGUACCAUAUGAAUAAGGACCGGCUAAUUCCGUG
rnacentral:rRNA from 1 species